rnacentral:rRNA from 1 species
UACGUAGGGGGCGAGCGUUGUCCGGAAUUAUUGGGCGUAAAGAGCUCGUAGGCGGUUCGGCAAGUCACGUGUGAAAUCUCCACGCUCAACGUGGAGGCGCCACGUGAGACUGCCGUGACUCGAGUCCGGUAGGGGAGCGUGGAAUUCCCGGUGUAGCGGUGAAAUGCGCAGAGAUCGGGAGGAACACCCGUAGCGAAGGCGGCGCUCUGGGCCGGUACUGACGCUGAGGAGCGAAAGCGUGGGGAGCGAACAGG